CACUAUUACGUGAGAAGACGCCUGCGCUGUACGCGCAGAAGAGGUGCUGCUGCGUCCACGUAUACUUACACGCAAUCGAGGGAGUAGGACGUAGAGGGUGGGAGUAGGGAAGGAGGACAGGAGGGAUAGUAGCCCGGUGGGAGACAAGGAUUCGUGUCAUUGUCAAUGGGUAAUCAGAAAGACGGAUGGACGAGCCAUAAAUUUUCGUAGAAAAGCAACGAAAGCGAAUUUUCUUCGCUCCCGGUGAGAGUUGGGACAACAAUGUCAAUGGUUGUUUCAAUGCAAACAACAGAAAUAAAAAGAAAUUGGUGUGUACCCUCGGUCGAGUAAGCAAUAAAUAAAUCAAGAAUAUUAGACGUCACAGAGAAACGAGUGAGCGGAAGGUAAAUAAAAAGCGAAUCCGAAUAUCGUCUCGUGGAGUGAAGCAAGAAUAAGAAAGACGAAGAAAGUGAAAAGAGUCGCGUGUCUCUAUUGUCGGACGAUUAUACCAUACCUCCAAACUUACAAAAUAGUAUUGAAAAAAGAAAGUGAAUCUAAGAAAUGAAACUAAGAUUACGAAAUUUUUUUUGCAUAAUAAAAAGAAAACAAAAUUUUUUAUUCG